rnacentral:rRNA from 1 species
AAAGACAGUUAGGCAGUGAAAAGCUUGUUUAAUUUUUAUUGAGAAGUAAAAUUCGUAAAUAAUUUAGAAAUUUGUUCAAAGCUGUAAAGCUGAAGCUGUGAUACCCUUGAGGGAAACUGGGAUUAGAUACCCCACUAUUCUUGGAGGUAAAAAAAUGUUAGUUUACCAGAGUACUAUGGAUUAUUUAUAUUUAAAACUCAAAGAGCUUGGCGGUGUUUUAGACUCUUUAGGGGAACCUGUCUCAUAAUCGACAAUCCACGUAAAACCUUACCUUUAUUUGCUGCCAGUUUGUAUACCGUCGUCGUCAGGUAACUUUUUAGAAAAAAGAAGUUAGCAAAAAAGCUCUCAUAAGCUUCUACGUCAGAUCAAGGUGCAGCCAAUAUAGGGGAGAGGAUGGGUUACAAUUAUAACAAUCAUAAUUACGAAGUAACAGCUUAAAAUAGUAGUUACGAAGGAGGACUUAAAAGUAAAAUAAAAUACGUAAAUGUACCGAAUUGAGCUCUGGAACGUGUACAAACCGCCCGUCGCUCUCGUUGAAAAACGAGAUAAGUCGUAACAUAGCAGGGGUAAUGGAAAUUGUCCCUAAAUU